rnacentral:rRNA from 1 species
UACGGGGGGAGCAAGCGUUGUUCGGAUUUACUGGGCGUAAAGGGCGCGUAGGCGGCCACCGCAAGUCGGUUGUGAAAUCUCUGGGCUUAACCCAGAAAGGUCAACCGAUACUGCGGGGCUAGAGUGCAGAAGGGGCAACUGGAAUUCUCGGUGUAGCGGUGAAAUGCGUAGAUAUCGAGAGGAACACCUGCGGCGAAGGCGGGUUGCUGGGCUGACACUGACGCUGAUGUGCGAAAGCUAGGGGAGCGAACGGG